rnacentral:rRNA from 1 species
AUUGAACGCUGGCGGCAUGCCUUACACAUGCAAGUCGAACGGUAACAGGUCUUCGGAUGCUGACGAGUGGCGAACGGGUGAGUAAUACAUCGGAACGUGCCUAGUAGUGGGGGAUAACUACUCGAAAGAGUGGCUAGUACCGCAUGCGAUCUACGGAUGAAAGCAGGGGAUCGCAAGACCUUGUGCUACUAGACCGGCCGAUGGCAGAUUAGGUAGUUGGUGGGAUAAAAGCUUACCAAGCCGACGAUCUGUAGCUGGUGUGAGAGGACGAUCAGCCACACUGGGACUGAGACACGGCCCAGACUCCUACGGGACGCAGCAGUGGGGAAUUGUGGACAAUGGGCGAAAGCCUGAUCCAGCAAUGCCGCGUGCAGGAUGAAGGCCUUCUGGUUGUAAACUGCUUUUGUACGGAACGAAAAGCCCCGGGUUAAUACCCUGGGGUCAUGACGGUACCGUAAGAAUAAGCACCGGCUAACUACGUGCCAGCCGCCGCCGUAA